rnacentral:tRNA from 1 species
UAGCUCAUCGGUAGAGCGCUCGCUUAGCAUGCGAGAGGUGCAGGGUUCGACUCCCUG